rnacentral:rRNA from 1 species
AGUGAACGCUGGCGGUAGGCCUAACACAUGCAAGUCGAACGGCAGCACAGUAAGAGCUUGCUCUUACGGGUGGCGAGUGGCGGACGGGUGAGGAAUACAUCGGAAUCUACUUUUUCGUGGGGGAUAACGUAGGGAAACUUACGCUAAUACCGCAUACGACCUACGGGUGAAAGCAGGGGAUCUUCGGACCUUGCGCGAUUGAAUGAGCCGAUGUCGGAUUAGCUAGUUGGCGGGGUAAAGGCCCACCAAGGCGACGAUCCGUAGCUGGUCUGAGAGGAUGAUCGGCCACACUGGAACUGAGACACGGUCAAGACUCCUAAGGGAGGCAGCAGUGGGGAAUAUUAGACAAUGGGCGCAAGCCUGAUCCAGCCAUACCGCGUGGGUGAAGAAGGCCUUCGGGUUGUAAAGCCCUUUUGUUGGGAAAGAAAAGCAGCAGGUUAAUACCCCGCUGUUCUGACGGUACCCAAAGAAUAAGCACCGGCUAACUUCGUG